UGAUAGUCCCGUACACCAAAAUGCACAGGUUGUGAACUCGAAGAGUAGGGCGGGACACGUGGUAUCCUGUCUGAAUAUGGGGGGACCAUCCUCCAAGGCUAAAUACUCCUGACUGACCGAUAGUGAACCAGUACCGUGAGGGAAAGGCGAAAAGAACCCCGGCGAGGGGAGUGAAAAAGAACCUGAAACCGUGUACGUACAAGCAGUGGGAGCACCUUCGGGUG
rnacentral:rRNA from 1 species